CCGGCGGCUGCGCCGGGCAGGCCGCGGGCGGGGGCUCGCCCCGGCGAGGAAAGCCUGCGCGGCGGGAAGGCGGUCGUUGGUUUGGGGAGCUGAACCGGGGGGUGUCUCCGGAGGCAGGCAGGCGGCAGGGCUCGGGGCGAGCCGUCGCCGGCCGCCAAGCUCACGGGGGUGUCCUUCCCUGCUGCCGACAGGCUUCGUCAGGCUGCGCUCUCGGGGAGCAACUGGGUCUGGCGGGGCCGGCAGCCUUCGUGCGAGGAAGCGCAGAACGUGGGCAAGGCCUCCUCGCGGUGACGGGCAGCUGCCAGGCCUUGCUCUGUAAGCCCCGGACCGCAGAAGUCACGUCUCGCGCCCUUCGCCCCUGCCUAGAAACAGGGAAUGGCUCUGCCCCGAUAUUCAUUCAUACAGAAGAAGCAGAUGUGACCUUCCCUUAUUAACUCUCGCGAUGAGUCAUGCUCAUCUCUGUGACUGAGCACUCAGACAUGGCGUUUCAGGUCAGACAGAAACAUACAAGCCCCUUAGAAGGCACCUUCCAGCAAUGCUAAGACUUCUGCUCCAGGACUGCAGCCCCCCUGGCCUCGAGGUGAUCGUGGAGUGGCCUCUCCUGUUUCCUCCUCAGGUGGGUGCUGCACUAGAACAAUGAGUCUCAUCACACAGCCCAUGGGAGCAGAUGAGACAGGAUGCCAAGAAGAGCCCAGGUGUUUUUUAACAUUUAAUCUUGUAACUAUUUGAAGACAUUUAAAUUCCUCAUUCUUUAAAAUUCAUGUUGCCAUGACAAACUCUGAUUACACAUAGUUGGUUACAAUAAUUUUUCUCCUAAGCAUAAAAUAAAGUAGUAGGUGAUCUUUUCAGUCACACUAGCUC
rnacentral:lncRNA from 1 species